AUACUCUUUUUUAAAGGUUGUGUUUAAGGAAUCCGGCGAAUUUCCGGAGCUGUGCCGCAACUGUUAAAGCCAGAAAACUAACAACUUCGUAUCCCGAGCA
rfam:Microgenomates (Woesebacteria) bacterium GW2011_GWB1_43_14 TV74_C0008, whole genome shotgun sequence.